CUUGAACAAGCUGAAAGAUUGAAAAACAUAUGACUCCAAAAUUUUUUGAUUUAAUGUUGUUUGUUUUUUUUUGUAUUAAUUUAUUAAUAUUGUGAUCCUGAUGAUAAUUGAUUGAUUAUGGAACUCGAAGCUAUAAGUAACCCUAUUGCUCCAGCCCACCUGGACACUGGUUCAACACAAUCCAACAGGGAUGCUCAUCCUUUAACCAAUGAUGAUUUCAGAAAGCUUUUGAUGACUCCUAGGGCCGGCUCUUCUGGAUCAGCGUCUGUUCGUUCCGAUGUCCAUGCCUCCGUUAGAAGUGGUCGUAAAACGACAUUAGUUUCUGACAAUGAAAAUCGUAAGAAAAAAAAGAAAUUUUAUGCCGCUUUAAAGAAGCAAGAAGAGGAUGUUUUAUCAAAAUUAUCUGAGAAAUAUCGUGAUCGAGCAAAAGAGCGGCGAGAUGGAGCUAACCCAGAUUACCAAAAUGAAGAUCCUGUAACAUCAAUGGCAGCUUAUCGUGCUGUUGCUCCUGAUUCCAAAUCCACUUUCGAUGCUGCUGAAAGACGUAAACGAAUGAUUGAAGAAUCAAAAUUCUUAGGAGGUGAUAUGAAACAUACUCAUCUUGUCAAAGGUCUUGAUUAUGCUUUACUCCAUAAAGUUAAAGCUGAAUUGGUAGAAAACGAUGAUGAAGAUGACGAAGAAGAGUUGGAUGAUAAAGCAUUCGAAGACAAAAUACGAGGAAGGAAUAGAAGAUCAUCAGAAUCUGAUACUAAAGAAGAAGAUUUUAUGCCAAAAUCAACAAUGGCUGCUAAUAUUCUUGCUUUGUUAAAAGAGGAAAAGUUAAGCAAUCGAAACGAACUAUUUCUUCCGGGUAGAAUGGCUUACACGAUUGAUCUGGAAGAUCCCUUUAUCGAUGAUAUACCCACUACAAUUAUACGUAGCAAAGCAGACUGUCCUAACUCAGAUAGUCUAUCUCAACUCAGCACUAAUAAUAUAGUCAUCAACAAAUUAAUUCAAAUUAUAUCUUAUCUACGGCAAGGUGGAGUUCCAAGGAAAAAGAAGAAAGAUAAAGUGGCUCCAGGAGAUGACUUGAACGUUAAAGUUAAACAAGAAAAAAAGAGACCCGAUUUCGACGACAGUAUUUAUGGAGAUAUUGGUGAUUAUGUCCCUUCUAUUGAAAAGAAGUCUACAAGUAAACGAAAAGAUGACAGGAGUAAUAGUGACCAUCAUGAUCAUCGCAAUGAUAGUAAACAUUCUUACUUUAACAAACGUGACGCAAAUGAAGAAUCUAAAGACCUUUCAUACGAAUCAAAAGAUCAUAAAUCUAGUCUAUCUGUUGCUAUGGCUGCUGCAACAUCUGUAUUGGAAUCCAAACAUAUUAGUAGAUUUAGCUCUAAACUCGAUCAAGAGACAGUUGAGAGCUACGCUGAAUGUUAUCCAGGAGCACCAGAAAAUGAUGAUGCCAUAUUGGACAGUGAUGAUGAAGUUGAUUUCUCUAAAAUGGAUGUUGGAAGUAAAAAAUCUACUGUUGGUCGUUGGGAUUUUGAUACGCAAGAAGAAUAUGGUGAAUACAUGAGUAAAAAAGAAGCCUUGCCUAAAGCUGCUUUCCAAUAUGGAGUAAAAAUGGCAGAUGGAAGAAAGACUAGACGAAUUCCAACCAAGAAAGAUGAAAAGGCUAAAAUUGAUCGCGAUUUGCAAAAAAUUAAUGCUAUCUUGUCAAAACGAAAACCAGCCGAGUCUGGCGAAGCCUCAAGUUCAGGAGCUAUUACACCGAGAGUUUCACGAGAUCAUAAAAGGAUAAAGCAUAUUUGAUUUAUUAUUUGUAUCUCAUCUGUAUAUUUCUUCCCUCAAACUCACUCUAUUCAUUUGAGUUUAUUAGGUCCAAUGUUUAUAUCAUCUUCAUUAAUCUUCUCAUUAAAACACCUUGUAGACUUAAAUUAACAGUAAAUUGCUGUCAGUCUAUCAAUUAAAUGGCGGGCAAAAUUUGAUAAUCAA